CGGGGCGUGGCUCAGCCCGGUAGAGCGCUCGGUUCGGGACCGAGAGGUCGGAAGUUCAAAUCUUCUCGCCCCGACAA
rnacentral:tRNA from 1 species